AAGAUCUUGCUCCACUUGGCUUUCAGUCCCUUCAGAGCUUUGCCUUAAAGCACAGGAGCAUCUUAUCCUUGCUGGGAGCUGGAAUUCCAGAGCAUUGCAGUGUGUGCCAUGGACCACAGAGGGAAUUCCCGAGGCUCUCAGGUGCUGCUUCUGCCGUGCCUCUCGAGGGAGCUGUGCAGGUGCAGGGGACAAGGUCCUGAAGCUCUGUGGGCUCCCAGAGCAGGCAGCAAAGGCUUCUCUGCUGGGCAUUUUCAAGCACAUUCCCAGCUGAAAGCAGAGACCAGAAGAAAAGGGAAGUGAGGAGCUGACAAUCCCGGGAUGCUUGCGGCUGGAAGGGGCCCUGUGCAGGUGUUACGAGCCCAUGAGGGAGAGAUGCCUCUGCCUGAAUGAAGCUGCAAAGGAGGCCAUGUGAGGACAACAACACUUUGUGUCACAGUCCUGCCGAGCCUGGAGGGCCACAUCAGGGCAGAGGCAGCUCAUGAGAGGCACAGCUACAGCUCUUGCACAGAGAAACAACUGGUGAUUAUUAGUGAUAUGUAAAAUGUCUGGAGUGCAGGGUUCAGCAGAACUCCCUGCAUCCCUGUUCACUUCGACUACGACAUCGGCCUGGGAGCAGCUCUGCACAUGAACAGCAACUGAUUUAAAGCAAACUCUCCUUCUUUGCUGAGUCCCACUUCUCACAGCUCAUAAACUCUGAGAGCUUUUUUUGUGUCAUUUCAGGGAACAGGCCAGGAUCACAGAAAGUUCAUGGCUUCCUUAUCACUAACCCCAUGUCUAUGUACAGCUCCAGCUGAUGGCAGCUGAGAACCCCCUGCGAAGGAGGGGCUGAGGGAUGGUCAGACUCUGAUGCAGAGAAACCUUGUUCUGGGAGACAGGACUUUCCUAAAUACCAGGAGAACUUCAACAAAUUUUUAUUGCAGGGCAGCUCAGCAGGAAUACAACAUAUCCCUUAUCUGUCUGGGCUGGCUCUAACUCCAUUAGGAAUGCAGUAAAACAAAGGAAAGGAAAGCUUCCUCACCCUGCUGAGCAGAGCAUAAAUACUCCUUGUUUAUGGAUAUAUCACUACAAUCAUCAUUUUCUAAUGCUGCUGAUACUGAUGUCUAAUACCCCAGGAAUUUCCCACAGAGGCAUUUGCAUUUAGAGAUUUACAAGGUUUGCUUCACAUAUAUGUAAUUUAGCCAGAAAACAUCAGUGAAACAUACAUGUGAUCAGUCAGGGGUCACUGUUGUUCCUUGGAAAAAGACUGUUUCUGGAGUUCUUGAACAUUUAUAUGGCACAACUGGUGCAAUUCAGAUGUGGCCCUGCACAUUUCAUGGGGCAGUUAUCCCAUGUUUAUUCCUGAGAUGACAUGGCUUACUUGUGGACUUGUGUCAUGGAGUUACUUUACCUUUAAGGGAGUUGGAGUU